GUCACACAGGAUUCCUGAUGCAAGCCUCCACUUUGACCACCCCGCUCCUAUACGAUGAGUGACGUCCCCGUCAAUCUCUCCGUCCCCCUGAAUCACUGAUCCAAGAUAUCUGACACUGUUUCUUUUUGCGACGGCCUGAGAUCCAAUCAUCACGUCUCUGCCUACUUCGACCGGCUCGGCGCUAAACUUGCACUCCAGGUAUUCUGUCUUAGAUCUGCUUAUUUUGAAACCCU
rnacentral:lncRNA from 1 species